GGGUGAGAAUCCCGUCCACCGAUUGACUAAGGUUUCCAGAGGAAGGCUCGUCCGCUCUGGGUUAGUCGGGUCCUAAGCUGAGGCCGACAGGCGUAGGCGAUGGAUAACAGGUUGAUAUUCCUGUACCACCUAUAAUCGUUUUAAUCGAUGGGGGGACGCAGUAGGAUAGGCGAAGCGUGCGAUUGGAUUGCACGUCUAAGCAGUAAGGCUGAGUAUUAGGCAAAUCCGGUACUCAUUAAGGCUGAGCUGUGAUGGGGAGAAGACAUUGUGUCUUCGAGUCGUUGAUUUCACACUGCCGAGAAAAGCCUCUAGAUAGAAAAUAGGUGCCCGUACCGCAAACCGACACAGGUAGUCAAGAUGAGAAUUCUAAGGUGAGCGAGCGAACUCUCGUUAAGGAACUCGGCAAAAUGACCCCGUAACUUCGGGAGAAGGGGUGCUCUUUAGGGUUAACGCCCAGAAGAGCCGCAGUGAAUAGGCCCAAGCGACUGUUUAUCAAAAACACAGGUCUCUGCUAAACCGUAAGGUGAUGUAUAGGGGCUGACGCCUGCCCGGUGCUGGAAGGUUAAGAGGAGUGGUUAGCUUCUGCGAAGCUACGAAUCGAAGCCCCAGUAAACGGCGGCCGUAACUAUAACGGUCCUAAGGUAGCGAAAUUCCUUGUCGGGUAAGUUCCGACCCGCACGAAAGGCGUAACGAUUUGGGCACUGUCUCAACGAGAGACUCGGUGAAAUCAUAGUACCUGUGAAGAUGCAGGUUACCCGCGAC
rnacentral:rRNA from 1 species